rnacentral:tRNA from 1 species
GGGUCCUGGUUCAGCUCUCCGACCAGUUGGCUUUUAACCAAUUGGUCGUAGGUUCGAAUCCCACACGACCCACCA